GAUGAAGAACGUAGCGAAAUGCGAUAAGUAAUGCGAAUUGCAGAUUUCAGUGAGUCAUCGAAUCUUUGAACGCACAUUGCGCCCCCUGGUAUUCCGGGGGGCAUGCCUGUCCGAGCGUCAUUGCUGCCCUCAAGCACGGCUUGUGUGUUGGGCCCCGUCCUCCGAUCCCGGGGGACGGGCCCGAAAGGCAGCGGCGGCACCGCGUCCGGUCCUCGAGCGUAUGGGGCUUUGUCACCCGCUCUGUAGGCCCGGCCGGCGCUUGCCGAUCAACCCAAAUUUUUAUCCAGGUUGACCUCGGAUCAGGUAGGGAUACCCGCUGAACUUAAGCAUAUCAAUAAGCGGAGGA
rnacentral:misc_RNA from 1 species